rnacentral:rRNA from 1 species
AUGAACGCUAGCGGCAGGCUUAACACAUGCAAGUCGAGGGGCAGCACGAGGUAGCAAUACUUUGGUGGCGACCGGCGCACGGGUGCGUAACGCGUAUGCAACCUACCUUUAACAGGGGCAUAACACUGAGAAAUUGGUACUAAUUCCCCAUAACAUUCGAGAAGGCAUCUUCUUGGGUUAAAAACUCCGGUGGUUAAAGAUGGGCAUGCGUUGUAUUAGCUAGUUGGUGAGGUAACGGCUCACCAAGGCAACGAUACAUAGGGGGACUGAGAGGUUAACCCCCCACAUUGGUACUGAGACACGGACCAAACUCCUACGGGAGGCAGCAGUGAGGAAUAUUGGUCAAUGGACGCAAGUCUGAACCAGCCAUGCCGCGUGCAGGAAGACGGCUCUAUGAGUUGUAAACUGCUUUUGUACUAGGGUAAACGCUCCUACGUGUAGGAGUCUGAAAGUAUAGUACGAAUAAGGAUCGGCUAACUCCGUGCCAGCAGCCGCGGUAAUACGGAGGAUCCAAGCGUUAUCCGGAUUUAUUGGGUUUAAAGGGUGCGUAGGCGGUUUGAUAAGUUAGAGGUGAAAUACCGGGGCUCAACUCCGGAACUGCCUCUAAUACUGUUGAACUAGAGAGUAGUUGCGGUAGGCGGAAUGUAUGGUGUAGCGGUGAAAUGCUUAGAGAUCAUACAGAACACCGAUUGCGAAGGCAGCUUACCAAACUAUAUCUGACGUUGAGGCACGAAAGCGUGGGGAGCAAACAGGAUUAGAUACCCUGGUAGUCCACGCCGUAAACGAUGAAUACUAGGUGUUGGGAAGCAUUGCUUCUCGGUGCCGUCGCAAACGCAGUAAGUAUUCCACCUGGGGAGUACGCCGGCAACGGUGAAACUCAAAGGAAUUGACGGGGGCCCGCACAAGCGGAGGAACAUGUGGUUUAAUUCGAUGAUACGCGAGGAACCUUACCCGGGCUUGAAAGUUAGUGACGAUUCUGGAAACAGGAUUUCCCUUCGGGGCACGAAACUAGGUGCUGCAUGGUUGUCGUCAGCUCGUGCCGUGAGGUGUCGGGUUAAGUCCCAUAACGAGCGCAACCCCUACCGUUAGUUGCCAUCAGGUCAAGCUGGGCACUCUGGCGGGACUGCCGGUGUAAGCCGAGAGGAAGGUGGGGAUGACGUCAAAUCAGCACGGCCCUUACGUCCGGGGCUACACACGUGUUACAAUGGUAGGUACAGAGGGCAGCUACCCAGCGAUGGGAUGCGAAUCUCGAAAGCCUAUCUCAGUUCGGAUCGGAGGCUGAAACCCGCCUCCGUGAAGUUGGAUUCGCUAGUAAUCGCGCAUCAGCCAUGGCGCGGUGAAUACGUUCCCGGGCCUUGUACACACCGCCCGUCAAGCCAUGGAAGCUGGGGGUGCCUGAAGUUCGUGACCGCAAGGAGCGACCUAGGGCAAAACCGGUGACUGGGGCU